rnacentral:rRNA from 1 species
UACGUAGGGCGCAAGCGUUUGUCCGGAAUUAUUGGGCGUAAAGAGCUCGUAGGCGGCUUGUCACGUCGGGUGUGAAAGCCCGGGGCUUAACCCCGGGUCUGCAUUCGAUACGGGCUAGCUAGAGUGUGGUAGGGGAGAUCGAAUUCCUGGUGUAGCGGUGAAAUGCGCAGAUAUCAGGAGGAACACCGGUGGCGAAGGCGGAUCUCUGGGCCAUUACUGACGCUGAGGAGCGAAAGCGUGGGGGAGCGAACAGGA